UGAUGAAGAGGGGACAGUGGAGGAGAAGUGUGAUGAGACAAAGGGAGUGUGAUGUAAUAGUAAUAAACUAGAGGGAACUUAGCAAGGCCAGUUUACUCAGAUUCUUCUCUGUGUUCCUGGGUGUUCAUUGAUAAGGACUGUUCAGCCCAGCGUGGUGGCUCACGUCUAUAAUCCCAGCACUUUGGGAGGCCCAGGCCUGUGAGCAUCUCUGUCUGAACCUGGAAGAGGAUGUACAAAGAGGUGAGGAGGAGGAAAGCACACAGCAUCACGGUCUUUCUCCAUACAGACUAAUUCCCUCCAGGUUAACAAUCAUGAAGUGUGAAUGAACAAAAAGUUAAACAAACAAAAAGCUAGUUGAAGGCCUGAAGAGUAACCAAAAGCAUAAACUGGAGGGUCGUCUUCCCCUAAAAGAAGAGAACUUCAAGAUGUACAAGUUUGCACCUUUUGCCUGAAGGCAGUCCUCAUUCUUCAGAAGGUUAGGGGUGGCAGAAAGCUGCAUCUUCAGUGGCUUGAGAUGUCAAGGACAGAAAUGGGGUGGGCAGAGCAGAGCAAAAGUUAAGAAAGUUAGGAGAAGAAUUCUGGAAAGAGGGGAACUGAAGAAGGAGCAAAUCUCAACCUCUGAACAGAAAUUUUGUUCAAAUCCCUAGUUGGUUUGUGCAGCAGGGGAGACGCCAGUGGGCCCAUUGAAAGGCAGCAGCCGGAAGCUGAAAACUAAUCAGAGACUUCGGCUGCUAUCCAUUACAGGAUGGUUUGAAGUUUCAGUUCAGGCGAAUGAGCUGCUUGAGGACAAAAGUUAACUAUUCUGAGGAAUGUAGCCAAAUCCGUAGUCUUUAUUAAUGUACCAUCCAUACUGUCCAGCAUGUAAUAAAAAAUCACUAGACAAGCAAAAAAAAAAAA
rnacentral:lncRNA from 1 species